UGUGGGUAGGGGUGAAAGGCCAAUCAAACUCCGUGAUAGCUGGUUCUCCCCGAAAUGCAUUUAGGUGCAGCGUCGUGUGUUUCCUCCUGGAGGUAGAGCUACUGGUUGGUUUAGCGGGACUAUCAUCUUAGCGACAUCAGCCAAACUCCGAAUGCCGGUGAGGUCAGAGCACGGCAGUGAGACUGCGGGGGAUAAGCUUCGUAGUCGAGAGGGAAACAGCCCAGAUCGCCGGCUAAGGCCCCUAAGGGUGUGCUAAGUGGAAAAGGAUGUGGGAUCGCGAAGACAACCAGGAGGUUGGCUUAGAAGCAGCCAUCCUUGAAAGAGUGCGUAAUAGCUCACUGGUCGAGUGGUUCUGCGCCGACAAUGUAGUGGGGCUCAAGUACACCGCCGAAGCCGCGGCAAUCACCUUUUUGGUGGUUGGGUAGGGGAGCGUCGCGUGACUGCUGUGAAGCGCUGGGGUAACCCUAGUGUGGAGUGUGCGCGAGUGAGAAUGCAGGCAUGAGUAGCGAAUGAGGAGUGGAAAACUCCUCCGCCGAAUGACUAAGGGUUCCUGGGCCA
rnacentral:rRNA from 1 species